AGGACGAACGCUGGCGGCGUGCCUAACACAUGCAAGUGGAGCGACGAACCAGGGCUUGCCCUGGGGCCAAGCCGCGAACGGGUGAGUAUCACGUGGGUAACCUGCCCCGAUGACCGGGACAACCCGAGGAAACUCGGGCUAAUACCGGAUGUGGUGUACACACAUAAGUGUGUCUACUAAAGGAAGCUUCGGCCUCCGCAUUGGGAUGGGCCCGCGGCCCAUUAGCUAGUUGGUGGGGUAAAGGCCUACCAAGGCAACGAUGGGUAGCUGGUCUGAGAGGACGAUCACCCAGACUGGGACUGAGACACGGCCCAGACUCCUACGGGAGGCAGCAGUCGGGAAUUUUGCUCAAUGGGCGAAAGCCUGAAGCAGCAACGCCGCGUGAGGGAUGAAGGCCUUCGGGUCGUAAACCUCUUUUCCGGGGACGAUAAUGACGGUACCGGCGAAUAAGCCACGGCUAACUACGUGCCAGCAGCCGC
rnacentral:rRNA from 1 species